AGAAAAAUCAUAUAUACCGGCCUCAUCAUUAAUUUAAAUUUGUAAUAAACAACGAGACAUUUAUAGCCACGGCUAAUGUAUUUGUUAAAAUAUUUAGUUAUCUUGGACGAAGCCCCAAACUUAAUCCAAAUUCUAGAGUUUCUCUAGAGACAUCCUAAAAUAUCAUUACUUCGAAAUAAUAUCUGAAUCUUAACAAAUAUCUAGAUACUUUUGUAACAUAUAAAAAACUAGAUAUUGGUAGAAAGGUUUAAAUUUAUACAUAAAGUAUGUUAGAUAUUUGUAGUGUUGGAAGCUAUAUAACCUUCUGUCUUUUUGUGACCAUCUCCUUACCCUUACGAAAAUUCUAAUUCUUUUCAGAGUUGUUAAACACUCUCUCUCCAUCAACAUGUAUUUUUCUUCCAACAAUAUUAUGCGUGUAACCUAGAACCUCUCAAUCCGACAAGAAGGGAAGCAGCAGCCAUGAAAAGAGGACCUGAGAUGAACCUGAUCAACAUCCCUAUUAUCGCUUUCUUUGUCCCACAAGCGAUCAUCUUUGGCUGCAGCGCCAUGAACAGACCUGUAAUUUUGGAAUAUCAAUAUUGUAUUACGUUUUUAUAAGAAAUAAUAAAAUUUGGUGCAGAUUA